rnacentral:rRNA from 1 species
AAAAAAGGUAAGCUACUAAGAGCGAAUGGUGGAUGCCUUGACUGGUAAAGGCGAUGAAGGACGUACUAGACUGCGAUAAGCUACGGGGAGCUGUCAAGAAGCUUUGAUCCGUAGAUUUCCGAAUGGGGCAACCCAAUGUAUAGAGAUAUACAUUACCUAUAUAGGAGCGAACGAGGGGAAUUGAAACAUCUUAGUACCCUCAGGAAAAGAAAUCAAUAGAGAUUGCGUCAGUAGCGGCGAGCGAAAGCGCAAGAGGGCAAACCCAGUGCUUGCACUGGGGGUUGUAGGACUGCAAUGUGCAAGAGGUGAGUUUAGCAGAACAUUCUGGAAAGUAUAGCCAUAGAGGGUGAUAGUCCCGUAUGCGAAAAACAAACCUUAGCUAGCAGUAUCCUGAGUAGGGCGGGACACGAGAAAUCCUGUCUGAAGCUGGGUCGACCACGAUCCAACCCUAAAUACUAAUACCAGAUCGAUAGUGCACAAGUACCGUGAGGGAAAGGUGAAAAGAACUGAGGUGAUCAGAGUGAAAUAGAACCUGAAACCAUUUGCUUACAAUCAUUCAGAGCCCUAUGUAGCAAUACAGGGUGAUGGACUGCCUUUUGCAUAAUGAGCCUGCGAGUUGUGGUGUCUGGCAAGGUUAAGCAAACGCGAAGCCGUAGCGAAAGCGAGUCUGAAUAGGGCGCUUAGUCAGAUGCUGCAGACCCGAAACGAAGUGAUCUAUCCAUGAGCAAGUUGAAGCUAGUGUAAGAACUAGUGGAGGACUGAACCCAUAGGCGUUGAAAAGCCCCGGGAUGACUUGUGGAUAGGGGUGAAAGGCCAAUCAAACUUCGUGAUAGCUGGUUCUCUCCGAAAUAUAUUUAGGUAUAGCGUUGUGUCGUAAUAUAAGGGGGUAGAGCACUGAAUGGGCUAGGGCAUACACCAAUGUACCAAACCCUAUCAAACUCCGAAUACCUUAUAUGUAAUCACAGCAGUCAGGCGGCGAGUGAUAAAAUCCGUCGUCAAGAGGGAAACAACCCAGACUACCAGCUAAGGUCCCUAAAUCUUACUUAAGUGGAAAACGAUGUGAAGUUACUUAAACAACCAGGAGGUUGGCUUAGAAGCAGCCAUCCUUUAAAGAAAGCGUAAUAGCUCACUGGUCUAGUGAUUUUGCGCGGAAAAUAUAACGGGGCUAAAGUAAGUACCGAAGCUGUAGACUUGCGCACAACUUAGAUUAUUUAAGUUUAGAAUAUGAGAAACUAAGUUAUAUGUUUAGUUAUAUUUUUACUGAUUUUUAUAGAGUAAAGAUAGAAAUAAAACUUAGUAAAAUCAGUAAAAAUAUUCUUAGACUAAAGUUAAGUAGUUUAAGUUGUGUGCAAGUGGUAGGAGAGCGUUCUAUUUGCGUCGAAGGUAUACCGGUAAGGAGUGCUGGAGCGAAUAGAAGUGAGCAUGCAGGCAUGAGUAGCGAUAAUUAAUGUGAGAAUCAUUAACGCCGUAAACCCAAGGUUUCCUACGCGAUGCUCGUCAUCGUAGGGUUAGUCGGG